rnacentral:rRNA from 1 species
AACAGGAUUAGAUACCCUGGUAGUCCACGCCGUAAACGGUGGGCGCUAGAUGUGGGGACCAUUCCACGGUUUCCGUGUCGCAGCUAACGCAUUAAGCGCCCCGCCUGGGGAGUACGGCCGCAAGGCUAAAACUCAAAGGAAUUGACGGGGGCCCGCACAAGCGGCGGAGCAUGCGGAUUAAUUCGAUGCAACGCGAAGAACCUUACCAAGGCUUGACAUACACGAGAACGGGCCAGAAAUGGUCAACUCUUUGGACACUCGUGAACAGGUGGUGCAUGGUUGUCGUCAGCUCGUGUCGUGAGAUGUUGGGUUAAGUCCCGCAACGAGCGCAACCCUCGUCCUAUGUUGCCAGCACGUAAUGGUGGGAACUCAUGGGAGACUGCCGGGGUCAACUCGGAGGAAGGUGGGGAUGACGUCAAAUCAUCAUGCCCCUUAUGUCUUGGGCUUCACGCAUGCUACAAUGGCCGGUACAAAGGGCUGCAAUACCGCAAGGUGGAGCGAAUCCCAAAAAGCCGGUCUCAGUUCGGAUUGAGGUCUGCAACUCGACCUCAUGAAGUUGGAGUCGCUAGUAAUCGCAGAUCAGCAACGCUGCGGUGAAUACGUUCCCGGGCCUUGUACACACCGCCCGUCAAGUCAUGAAAGUCGGUAACACCCGAAGCCGGUGGCCCAACCUUUUUGGAGGGAGCCGUCGAAGGUGGGAUCGGUAAUUAGGACUAAGUCGUAACAAGGUAACC